rnacentral:rRNA from 1 species
AGAGUUUGAUCCUGGCUCAGAGUGAACGCUGGCGGUAGGCCUAACACAUGCAAGUCGAACGGCAGCACAGGAGAGCUUGCUCUCUGGGUGGCGAGUGGCGGACGGGUGAGGAAUACAUCGGAAUCUACCUUUUCGUGGGGGAUAACGUAGGGAAACUUACGCUAAUACCGCAUACGACCUACGGGUGAAAGUGGGGGACCGCAAGGCCUCACGCGAUUAGAUGAGCCGAUGUCCGAUUAGCUAGUUGGCGGGGUAAUGGCCCACCAAGGCGACGAU